rnacentral:rRNA from 1 species
GUACCGUGAGGGAAAGGUGAAAAGCACCCCGAUAAGGGGAGUGAAAUAGUUCCUGAAACCGGAUGCCUACAAGCAGUUGGAGCCUCUAUAUGGGGUGACAGCGUACCUCUUGCAUAAUGGGUCAGCGAGUUAGUCUUACAAGCGAGCUUAAGCCGUUAGGUGUAGGCGCAGCGAAAGCGAGUCUGAACAGGGCGACUGAGUUAAAUGGAUUAGACCCGAAACCCGGCGAUCUAGUUAUGAGCAGGUUGAAGGUGCGGUAACACGCACUGGAGGACCGAACCCACGUCUGUUGAAAAAGACGGGGAUGACUUGUGAUUAGGGGUGAAAGGCCAAUCAAGCCGGGAGAUAGCUGGUUCUCCGCGAAAACUAUUUAGGUAGUGCCUCAGGUAUUACCUACGGGGGUAGAGCACUGGAUGGAUGCGGGGGGCGCGAGCCUUACCAAUUCUAACCAAACUCCGAAUACCGUAGAGUAGAGCCUGGGAGACAGACUGUGGGUGCUAAGGUCCAUAGUCGAGAGGGAAACAGCCCUGACCACCAGCUAAGGUCCCUAAAUCAUGUCUAAGUGGGAAAGCAUGUGAGACGGCCAUAACAACCAGGAUGUUGGCUUAGAAGCAGCCAUCAUUUAAAGAAAGCGUAACAGCUCACUGGUCUAAUUAAGCUGUCUUGCGGCGAAGAUGUACCGGGGCUAAAGACAUGUACCGAAGCUGUGGAUGUGCACUUUGUGCACGUGGUAGCGGAGCGUUCCGUAAGCCGUUGAAGGUGUGGCGCGAGCCAUGCUGGAGGUAUCGGAAGUGAGAAUGCUGACAUGAGUAGCGAUAAAGAGUGUGAGAGACACUCUCGCCGAAAACCCAAGGGUUCCUGCGCAAGGCUAAUCCGCGCAGGGUGAGUCGGCCCCUAAGGCGAGGCCGAAAGGCGUAGUCGAUGGGAAACGGAUUAAUAUUUCCGUACUUGGUAUAAUUGCGAUGGGGGGACGGAGCAGGCUAAGCAAGCAUGGCGAUGGUAGUCCAUGUGAAAGUGUGUAGGCUAGUGACUUAGGUAAAUCCGGGUUGCUGUUAGGCUGAGACACGAGACGAGUCACCAAGGUGAUGAAGUUGCUGAUGCCAUACUUCCAGGAAAAGCCUCUAAGCUUCAGAUCACAUGCGACCGUACCCCAAACCGACACAGGUGGUCAGGUAGAGAAUACCAAGGCGCUUGAGAGAACUCGGGUGAAGGAACUAGGCAAAAUGGCACCGUAACUUCGGGAGAAGGUGCACCGGUUCGAGUGAAGGACUUGCUCCGUAAGCUCUUACCGGUCGAAGAUACCAGGUGGCUGCAACUGUUUAUUAAAAACACAGCACUCUGCAAACGCGCAAGCGGACGUAUAGGGUGUGACGCCUGCCCGGUGCCGGAAGGUUAAGAGGAGGUGUGCAAGCACCGAAUUGAAGCCCCGGUAAACGGCGGCCGUAACAAUAACGGUCCUAAGGUAGCGAAAUUCCUUGUCGGGUAAGUUCCGACCUGCACGAAUGGCGUAACGACUUCCCCACUGUCUCCAGCAUAGACUCAGCGAAAUUGAAUUCUCCGUGAAGAUGCGGAGUACCCGCGGUCAGACGGAAAGACCCCGUGCACCUUUACUACAGCUUCAGAGUGGUAUUAGGGAUAACAUGUGUAGCAUAGGUGGGAGGCUUUGAAGCCGGGACGCCAGUCCUGGUGGAGCCACCCUUGAAAUACCACCCUUGUUGUUCCUGAUAUCUAACCACGUCCCGUGAACCCGGGACUGGGACCCUCUGUGGCGGGUAGUUUGACUGGGGCGGUCGCCUCCUAAAGAGUAACGGAGGCUCCCAAAGGUACCCUCAGCACGGAUGGCAAUCGUGCGUAGAGUGUAAAAGCAUAAGGGUGCUUGACUGCGAGACAGACACGUCGAGCAGGUACGAAAGUAGGUUCUAGUGAUCCGGUGGUUCUGUAUGGAAGGGCCAUCGCUCAACGGAUAAAAGGUACUCCGGGGAUAACAGGCUGAUACCGCCCAAGAGUUCAUAUCGACGGCGGUGUUUGGCACCUCGAUGUCGGCUCAUCUCAUCCUGGGGCUGGAGCAGGUCCCAAGGGUAUGGCUGUUCGCCAUUUAAAGUGGUACGCGAGCUGGGUUUAGAACGUCGUGAGACAGUUCGGUCCCUAUCUGCCGUGGGCGUCGGAAGUUUGAGAAGAGCUGCUCCUAGUACGAGAGGACCG